CUAACAUAUAUCAGUAAAACAAGAGUGAAAAAUUUUAUAGAUCACGUUAAUAAGACAAAAGGCGCUGAUCAGACUAAUCACAGACAAAGUGCUGUGGUUGGAAACGGCUAUUGAACAACGGCAUGAAUGGGAUAAAAGUUUUAAAAGGGUUAUAACUGAGAAAAGUGGUUAAAAAUAAGCCAAAUAUUGAAAAGUACACAGCAAAAAAAAGUUAGAUCCUCUCUGAAAGUGUGAAUUAUUUUUUGGAUGAAGUGCAUAUUUUUUCCUUUUAACACACUUUGUAUCAUGCUCUCUCUGCCUCCCUCGUAAUGCAGAGUUUGUGAACAAGUCCAAUGUUUGCCCACAUUGGCUGUCACGUGUUACUGUGAUCACCAGUGAAGGGUUGUUGACUCUGCUGAUGCCGAUUGGAUCCCAGGAAAUGCUUCAGUUGCUUGGCAGGUCCCUGCAUUGGCAAGUUAGGUACUAGUGCUGGAAGACCAUGUCACCCUAACAACUACAAAUCCCACUCUGUAUAGGACAGCAUAGAACGCCAUAACGUCCUGAAGGGAUU